rnacentral:rRNA from 1 species
UACGUAGGGCGCAAGCGUUGUCCGGAAUUAUUGGGCGUAAAGAGCUCGUAGGCGGCUUGUCGCGUCGAUUGUGAAAGCCCGGGGCUUAACUCCGGUCUGCAGUCGAUACGGGCUAGCUAGAGUGUGGUAGGGGAGAUCGGAAUUCCUGGUGUAGCGGUGAAAUGCGCAGAUAUCAGGAGGAACACCGGUGGCGAAGGCGGUCCCCUGGGCCGGAACUGACGCUGAGGCGCGAAAGCGUGGGUAGCAAACGGG